AGGGUCAUUUUCAUUGUCAUUUUAUACCGCAUUGUUAUACCGCGUUGCGCGGAAUUGGCCGUCGCGUCGGUUACAGUGAGCCACUCAUUAUCGCCCGUAUACGUAUAUACAUGUAUGUAUUGUCCACUAAUACCUAUGUGACGUCAUCAUUAUAUGUGUCCAUGUGUUGUCCUUUGUGGUCACUUUUGUUUGUACUUGGCGGGAAUUAAAAAGGUAGCCAUUGUCUACGGACGGAUCAAAUAUGUAGUCGCCGUCAAGACAGAUUUGAGUAUUUAGAUUCAUCAUUGUCCUGGAUAUUCCAGAUGAUAGUUAUUUGACCCUUGACCCAUUGUUAGGGUAGGUAUUAUAUGUAUAAGUAAAUAUUUCCAAUAUGAUGUAAAAGUAAAUGGUUUAUGAUAAUCAUGUACAUGUAUGAAUUUAAUAGUAUGAACAGCAUAUCGCUGUAGUGAUUGUACAUCCAUAAUAUAAACUGUGUGGAUUAUUAUAUAGCUAUAUUUAUAUCAAUGUAUGUGUAUUCAUAUAAUUAUAGUACACGUUCAUAUAUAUGUAAUAGAAAGAGUGCAGUAAUUUAUGACUGUAUGAAAUAAGGUAAUGAUAGGUGUUAUUGUUUUAUGUUGUAGGGUCGUUAACUUUGUUAACGCUUUCAACUAUAGAAAUAAACAACUGGAACUAAA